AGGCAGCGAGCGUUGUUCGGAAUUACUGGGCGUAAAGAGUGUGUAGGCGGUGCUCUAAGUUCGGUGUGAAAUCUCCCGGCUUAACUGGGAGGGUGCGCCGGAAACUGGAGUGCUCGAACGUGGGAGAGGAAAGCGGAAUUCCUGGUGUAGCGGUGAAAUGCGUAGAUAUCAGGAGGAACACCUGCGGUGUAGACGGCUUUCUGGACCAUUGUUGACGCUGAGACACGAAAGCGUGGGUAGCAAACAGG
rnacentral:rRNA from 1 species